CAACCUCAACUCAUAUGGGACUACCCCCUGAAUUUAAGCAUAUUAAUUAGGGGAGGAAAAGAAACUAACAAGGAUUUUCUUAGUAGCGGCGAGCGAAAAGAAAUCAGUUCAGCACUAAGUCACUUUGUCUAUAUGGCAAAUGUGAGAUGCAGUGUACGGAACAUCAACAUUCUAGUAUGAGAAGUUAACGAUUUAAGUCCUUCUUAAAUGAGGCCAUUUACCCAUAGAGGGUGCCAGGCCCGUAUAACGUUAAUGAUUACUAGAUGGUGUUUCCAAAGAGUCGUGUUGCUUGAUAGUGCAGCACUAAGUGGGUGGUAAACUCCAUCUAAAACUAAAUAUAACCAUGAGACCGAUAGUAAACAAGUACCGUGAGGGAAAGUUGAAAAGAACUCUGAAUAGAGAGUUAAAUAGUACGUGAAACUGCUUAGAGGUUAAGCCCGAUGAACCUGAAUAUCCGUUAUGGAAAAUUCAUCAUUAGAAUUGUAAUAUUUUAAACAAUAUUAUAAUAAUAGUGUGCAUUUUUUCCAUAUAAGGACAUUGUAAUCUAUUAGCAUAAAUAUUUAUCAUAAAAUUAUGUCUGAUUGCUUAUUUGAAUUAUAUGCUUGGCAUUUUAACAUAAAAUAAAAGAUAUAAAUUUGAUAAAGUGCUGAUAGAUUUAUAUGAUUACAGUGCGUUAAUUUUUCGGAAUUAUAUAAUGGCAUAAUUAUCAUUGAUAUUUGUGUUUAUUAUAUGCAUUUGUAUGAUUAACAAUGCGAAAGAUUCAGGAUACCCUUCGGGACCGUCUUGAACACGGACCAAGGAGUCUAACAUAUGUGCAGUUAUUGGGAUAUAAACCUAAUAGCGUAAUUAACUUGAAUAUUAAUGGGAUUAGUUUUUUAACUAUUUAUAGUUAAUUAACGCAAUCCCGGGGCGCUCUAUAUAGUUAUGUAUAAUAAUAUUUAUAUUACUUAUGCCUCUAACUGGAACGUACCUUGAGCAUAUAUGCUGU
rnacentral:ncRNA from 1 species